UACGGGGGGGGGCAAGCGUUGUUCGGAAUUACUGGGCGUAAAGGGCUCGUAGGCGGCCAACUAAGUCAGACGUGAAAUCCCUCGGCUUAACCGGGGAACUGCGUCUGAUACUGGAUGGCUUGAGUUUGGGAGAGGGAUGCGGAAUUCCAGGUGUAGCGGUGAAAUGCGUAGAUAUCUGGAGGAACACCGGUGGCGAAGGCGGCAUCCUGGACCAACACUGACGCUGAGGAGCGAAAGCCAGGGGAGCGAACAGG
rnacentral:rRNA from 1 species